UGGGGAAUAUUGGACAAUGGGGGCAACCCUGAUCCAGCAAUGCCGCGUGAGUGAUGAAGGCCUUAGGGUUGUAAAGCUCUUUCGGCGGGGACGAUGAUGACGGUACCCGCAGAAGAAGCCCCGGCUAACUUCGUGCCAGCAGCCGCGGUAAUACGAAGGGGGCGAGCGUUGUUCGGAAUUACUGGGCGUAAAGGGCGCGCAGGCGGCUCUGAAAGUCAGAUGUGAAAGCCCCGGGCUUAACCUGGGAACUGCAUUUGAUACUCUGGAGCUUGAGUACGGGAGAGGAUAGUGGAAUUCCCAGUGUAGAGGUGAAAUUCGUAGAUAUUGGGAAGAACACCGGUGGCGAAGGCGGCUAUCUGGACCGUAACUGACGCUGAGGCGCGAAAGCGUGGGGAGCAAACAG
rnacentral:rRNA from 1 species